UGUGGGAAGAGGGGCUAUCCGAGUCGGGCCACGGAGGGAACCCGCGCACGGGUUGCCGUGCUUUGCCCCUCACUGCCCGCGUUUACUUGGUACAGUCCGCGGCCUGAAGGAUCGAGAAGCUCCAGGGCUCGCGCGUGCGUUGAAUAGGACAGAUCUGGCCCCAUCUUCGUGGCGCUGUGGUCAACGGAAGAUCUACACAUAAUUAGACUACUACCUAAAACGGUCACACCUGGAAUGGUUGGCGCAUAGGAAGCUGUGGGUGCCAGAAGAAGCGCCCGCCUCAGCCUGGGAUACCGGAAAAACUUCCAAAAGGUGGUGAUUUUUAAGCCAAGUAUGAAUAGGUGCCAACUAGAAUGGGAGUCUUUCUGGCAGAAGGAACAUCAAGGUCAAAAGCCCAGAGGCAGGCAAAACAACAACAACAACAACAAGUACAUAGUUUGAAGAAGUGAAAGCAGCUUACUGUCCCUGAAACACAAUUGGAGAAGGGAAAUUCUACGGGCGAUUUUAAAGAGCUUAGACUUUGUUCUGAGUAUAGAAAGCCGUUGCAAGGUUCCAGCCUUCUAGGAAGAAGUAACUUUGUCACGCAGCAAUUUAAAACUCUUCCAUGGAGUCCCAUUACAACUUUAAAAAAAAAAAACAAAAAAACCCUAAACUCAUGUAUCAUAGCUUCAGGGUCUGUCAUGUGGUCUGGCCCUAUUUCUCCUUCUGGCCUCACCUACCCUCCUUUUUAUCCACUCCUGUCUAGCUCCACUUGACUUUAGAUAGCCAAUCUCUUUACCAUCUUGCGCCUUUGAUCUUGCUGUUCCCUUUGCCUGAAAAUGCUUUUCCAUCGGAUCUUUUAAUAGCUGUGCUCACAAUUCCUAUCUUGAAACACAUGUCAACUUAAGAGCCUUUCCCUGAUUAUAACAGCAUCUUCAGAUUGGAGUUUGAACAAAGCAAGACUGGCCUUGAGUUGUUUGUUGAAACUGGAGCGAAAGGUGCAUGGGACUUCAUGGCCUGUUCUCUCUACUGCUGUAUAGUUGAAGUUUUCAUAGUAACAUGUUAAAAUGGUACUGCACAUCUCUACAUAUUAUUUUUUAAAUUUAUUUUUGGUGGUACUGGGAAUUGAGCCCAGAAGCAUUUUACUCCUGAUCCACAUCCCCAGCCCUUUUUAUUCUUUAUUUUAAGACAGGGUCUCCCUAAGUUGUCAGCCGACCUAGAACUUGGGCUUUUUCUGCUUCAGCCUCCUGAAUAGCUCUGCCACCAUUGAAGCCAGAAUUAGACAGGCAGUCAGUAUAGACAGGUAAAUUGAGUUAGGUAGGAUCAAGGAUGCCAAUUUGAGUCCAGAAAGUUGGAGAGCUAUUAAAAUGCUAAUGCAGGGGGAGGGGGCUGGGGUUGUGGCUCAGUGGUAGAGCGCUUGCCUAGCAUGCACGAGGCACUGGGUUUGAUCCUCAGCACCACAUAGAUGUAAAAUAAAAAUAUUGUGUCCACUUAAAACUUGAGAAUAAAUAUUUUUUUAAAAAUGCUAA